rnacentral:tRNA from 1 species
GCCCCCGUGGCUCAGCGGUAGAGCGCCUGUCUUGUAAACAGGAGGUCGAGAGUUCAAUCCUCUCCGGGGGCU